rnacentral:rRNA from 1 species
CGGGUGGUAAUGCCGGAUGUUCCAGUUGAUCGCAUGGUCUUCUGGGAAAGCUUUCGCGGUAUGGGAUGGGGUCGCGUCCUAUCAGCUUGACGGCGGGGUAACGGCCCACCGUGGCUUCGACGGGUAGCCGGCCUGAGAGGGCGACCGGCCACAUUGGGACUGAGAUACGGCCCAGACUCCUACGGGAGGCAGCAGUGGGGAAUAUUGCACAAUGGGCGCAAGCCUGAUGCAGCGACGCCGCGUGAGGGAUGGAGGCCUUCGGGUUGUAAACCUCUUUUAUCGGGGAGCAAGCGAGAGUGAGUUUACCCGUUGAAUAAGCACCGGCUAACUACGUGCCAGCAGCCGCGGUAAUACGUAGGGUGCAAGCGUUAUCCGGAAUUAUUGGGCGUAAAGGGCUCGUAGGCGGUUCGUCGCGUCCGGUGUGAAAGUCCAUCGCUUAACGGUGGAUCCGCGCCGGGUACGGGCGGGCUUGAGUGCGGUAGGGGAGACUGGAAUUCCCGGUGUAACGGUGGAAUGUGUAGAUA